GAUGAACGCUGGCGGCGUGCCUAAUACAUGCAAGUCGAGCGAACAGACGAGGAGCUUGCUCCUUUGACGUUAGCGGCGGACGGGUGAGUAACACGUGGGUAACCUACCUAUAAGACUGGGAUAACUUCGGGAAACCGGAGCUAAUACCGGAUAAUAUUUCGAACCGCAUGGUUCGAUAGUGAAAGAUGGCUUUGCUAUCACUUAUAGAUGGACCUGCGCCGUAUUAGCUAGUUGGUAAGGUAACGGCUUACCAAGGCAACGAUACGUAGCCGACCUGAGAGGGUGAUCGGCCACACUGGAACUGAGACACGGUCCAGACUCCUACGGGAGGCAGCAGUAGGGAAUCUUCCGCAAAGGGCGAAAGCCUGACGGAGCAACGCCGCGUGAGUGAUGAAGGUCUUCGGAUCGUAAAACUCUGUUAUUAGGGAAGAACAAAAGUGUAAGUAACUAUGCACGUCUUGACGGUACCUAAUCAGAAAGCCACGGCUAACUACGUG
rnacentral:rRNA from 1 species